rnacentral:rRNA from 1 species
GGGCCCGCACAAGCGGUGGAGUAUGUGGUUUAAUUCGAUGCAACGCGAAGAACCUUACCAGGGUUUGACAUCCUGCGAAUCUCCUGGAAACGGGAGAGUGCCUUCGGGAGCGCAGUGACAGGUGGUGCAUGGCUGUCGUCAGCUCGUGUCGUGAGAUGUUGGGUUAAGUCCCGCAACGAGCGCAACCCACGUCGUUAGUUGCCAGCAUUCAGUUGGGCACUCUAGCGAGACCGCCGGUGAUAAACCGGAGGAAGGUGUGGAUGACGUCAAGUCAUCAUGCCCCUUACAUCCUGGGCUACACACGUACUACAAUGCUACGGACAAAGGGCAGCAAACUCGCGAGAGCUAGCAAAUCCCAUAAACCGUGGCUCAGUUCAGAUCGUAGGCUGCAACUCGCCUACGUG